ACUAAUUGUUACUUCCAAUGUAAUCAAUAAAAAGAAAACAGUGUUUUCCCAAGUGAAGGAAAUACUCUUCAGACGAUUUUCAUUAAAGCUGUAAUUUUUCAAUCCGUAGUAAUAAGAAAAACUUUCAAAAAUUCAUUUUCCUGUUCAAAGUGACAUGGGCUGUUUGGGUCCGUGACGGAGUUUCAAAAGUGAUUUAUCUGAAGCCGAAUAUGGAUUUCAGAUUUGUGGCCUUGUGUUAAAGUGUUAUUUUUGCAUGCCGUGUGAACUUGUAACAAUGUUUUUAUGACUGGUUAUGUUUGAUAAGGAUAGAUAAGAUUAAAGGUUUGUGCGUAAGGAAAAAUGUAGUUCACUGUCUUUUGGUUUAUAGCACUCCAUAUCGAAUACACUGGUCUAGUGAACGUUCCAAACUGCCCAAGACAUUUCUUGGAAGUGUUUUGUUUGAACCGCGACAGGAAAGUCAGCCAUCCUGAUGUUUUUCAUGAUUUUUGCAAGGCCCGUCUAGUACCACAGGUACCUCAAGGCGUUCAAGGCUCAGUUACGCCACGGUCAGUGCUGGUCAGUGUCUUCCAGAUUUCCAGAUUCUUUCUUUAAGUAGAAGAAAAUAAAAAUUGGUUAAGUCAGUUUGAACGGUUUGAACCAAGAAACCGCACGACUAGCAUGACUAGAAUACGGUGUCAGCAGAUAAGAUCCCAGUGUACAGCAACCAGUAUACUUGUACAUAUUAUAAAUGACCUAGUGAGGCCAAAGGCAUUUACAACUCAGAACAAAAAAGUCAGAAGUUCAACUUCGUCGAGGGUUUUGAGGAUUGUGGAAGUCAGGACAGGACACACAUUGGAAAUCAUGCUUUAGUUUCCUUGAUCCGUGGCUUACGUAGGAAGUGGAUGGACCAAGGCAUAAAUGGUUGUGCAAUAAUUGAAUGAGGUUAUUGGCGCCUGUCAAAAUGCUGGACUGAAGGCUGUUGCCACAAUCUGUGACACAGCUCCCAGCAACGUCAAGGCCUUGAAGCUGUUCGGAGGUUGCUGCAAACAGCUGCGUUUGUUGAGGAGGUUUCAAUGGUGACCCAGGGAAAACAGUGCGUUUCCCACUCAGUAUAACAGUCCCCAUAUAAAUCAUUGGAAAAAGGCAAGCAUGGGAAUAAAUAAUUGAAUCUUCCUCAAGGAUGGUAAAACUGCCUUUUUUCACCCUCGUCCUUCGCAGAAUGGGUGGCGAAUGGACAUUACUACUGCCCAGUACGUGUGGAAGACAGUGAAAGAGACGAGUGACUUCACACCCUAAACAUGAAUCAGGGUAUUCGUUUGUACUGUGGUUCUAACAGUAACCCAACUGAGGGGUAGUUUGUAGCUGCCCUGAAGACUGGCAUCAUCAGUGGACUUGCUUCUUGAGAUACCAUCAACUGAAGAAGGCUGGCUAAAGAUCGCUAAAGAAUUUGAUGAAAAGCGGAACUCUCCCCACUGUCUAGGGGCUUUAGAUGGGAAGCAUGUCAUUCUGCAGACUCCUGUCAACAGCGGAAGUGAAUACUUCAAUUACAAACAUGAAUUUAGCAUUGUAUUUUUGCUGUGGUAAAUGCCAAUUACAAUUUUGUAUAGUUGAUGUGGGAUGCCAAAGUAGAAUUUCAAAUGGCGGAGUUUUUAAAAACUGUACUUUGUAUAAGACUAUUGAAAAAUGAGAGUUAAAUGGUCCACAACCCCAAAGUUUGGAUGGAAGAGAGAAAGAAAUUCCCUAUUUUUUUUCUUGGAGAUGAAGCAUUUGCACUCAGUCAGCAUUUAAUGAAAGUGUUUCCAGGAAUGUAUCCUGCAGAUUCAAAGAAGCGAGUGUUUAAUUGCAGGGUAUGCAGAGCUCGCAAAGUGGUUGAAAACGUGUUUGAAAUAUCUUCUUCUGUGUUCCGAGUACUGAGCAAACCACUGCUGCUACAGCCAGAAAAUGAAACUCUCAGUGUCAUGGCCGUCGCUCACCUGCAUAACUUCCUGAGGAGGAACAAGGAAUCCUUUAACCUGUACUCACCACUAGGAAGUAUGGAUUAUGAGGUAGAAGGCAAACUAAAGCCAGGGUCUUGGAGGAACGACAAUAACGAGAAGAGAACUUCCUUACUACAGCUGCAAAGAAUUCCGAAAAGGCCCCCAAGAACAGCAAUGGAAAUAAGGAAUGAAUUGGCAGAUUUCUUUACCAAAGAAGGGAAGAUUCCAUGCCAAAAUCAACAUGCUUGAAUUAGUUCGGAAAAUAUGAGCGAAAUCGUGUGCAGCUCCAGCAAAAUAUGACAGAAGAACAGUAGCUCGACGUAUUUCCUUUGUCACUUUUUUUGUGAACCCGGGCCCACAUGGAGGAAAAAAACAGAGAUCCGCGUCUCUUUAUUUUCACCUAUAAUUUUCCUAACCAACUCUGCGACAUCAAUUUUAUGAAUGCAUGCUCAGUACUAUUCUAAAAAUGUAACUUCCCCAUUAAGUACAGAAGGCAAAGGAAAAGAAAAUGGUAAACGCAUGAGUUCUUA